GUCUUCACAGUACAGGAGCGCUUGCCCGACAAGGAUGCUCCAGGGCAACAUCUACGCGCGUAGAGUGAACAGAGAGUCGAUGUUUCUAAAGUUAACCCUGGACAUCCUUUUAUAGUCCAAGGGGUUACCAUAGUGGCUGAAUUGGUCUUUACAUGGGAGAACAGUCCACACGAUAGCUGCCAAGACUAGUGACAGAAGCUAUAGUGGGAAAUACGUAACUUUGGCAUACUAAGACAGA
rnacentral:lncRNA from 1 species